rnacentral:sRNA from 1 species
UCGUAUGUUAAGGUCGAAUUGCACGC